UCAGUAUAUUCAGUAUAUAAUUCAGUAUACAUACGUUAAAUUAUUAAUUUCCCUGCAUGGAGAUCAUAAGAUUAGAUUGGUAACGUACAUAACCCUCUAACAAGAACUUCUGAGAAACCAAGAUCACGACGUCAAUUGUGACAUUAAUGAUCCUUAAAUUUUUGUUGUGAAAAUUACUAAUUUGUGUAUCAGUGUAAGCACGUGAACAUCGCAGAUGUGUAAACAAUUGGUUUGUUUAUAAAUCCAAACGCGUGGUCUUCGUGAAACCACAUCUAGCUCUAUUUUGGUUACACACAUAUGGUUUAUGUUCAUUGCUUGAAGUACCAAUCAAUUCUUCAUAUUUGCCAAACGUAUAAAGUUGGUAAAAACCCAGUGUUCGUUGGUAAUUCAUUUUUGGUGUGCGGUUUCAUCGGAAACAGCACAGAUUGGCGAGUCGUGACUGCUAAAGUGAGUAAUGCGCGUCGGCUGCGUCAAUAGGGGCAAAGCGCUGGGUGCCGGAGACAGAUGGAGGGAAUCGUGACUGACUGGAGACUUCCACAAAUGAAACCACAACCUCAUCAUAUCUCAAUGAGGGAACUAUUUGUGAAGAUAAGACUUAGAUGUUAGGGUCUUGCUGUUCUCCUAGUCACUCUUAGUCCUGACCUUGGGAUUCUGGGGUAAUGAGAGAAAAGCGACAUACUGUAGGGAUCUUUUAGAGUUUGUGUGUGUGCGUGCGCGCGUGCAAAACAGAAAGAAUGAUGUGUGUGUGUGUGUGUGUGUGUGUGUGUGUGUCUUUGUUUGUGAGUGUGUGAGAGAGUGUGUGUAAGCUUGUGUGCUUCUUUGGGGACGGGUUUAUAUGGCUGUGUGUGUUUGUCUGCGCGCGCGUAUGCGUGAGUUGUGUGGGGUAUCCAAAUAUAGCCAGAGAACGAUGUUCAUUAUUUUAUGAGACAAGAAAGGAGGUGACCGCAAAUCUUUAGCUUUGGUGCUAGGUGACUUUAAAUCUUUAUCAGACUUAUGCACAGACAAAGGAUAUUGAGGAACUUAUUUUGGGGGGUCCCUGUGUGAGAAGAGCAAGGAUUGGUCGAAUGACGAUUUUUUGUUUGCUCCAAUGAAAUCCUUCACUGCUCUCUAUUUACUGUGAGCUGGAGCGCAGUAAUUCCCCUCCUUCAACAGAUCUAUCGACUGACAGGAGUAGAUCAGCUUUUUACUUAACCACAUCACGAACAGGAGAAUAUGUACAGUAUGAGCAUAAAAACAGCACGAGAACACGGAUGAAAUGACAGUGCAAAGCCUCGGACGCGAAGAAAGUCGUACACCGGAGCGGAUUCUGUGCGUUUCUCCGUGAACGUUUAGAAUUGGAGUCUACUGCACACGGUCUGGCCAUUGGCUACAACAGCACGGACUGUCAAUAAUUAUGGACAAAACCUGCAACUCAGAUGUCACAUUCAAAGCGUACGGAAAACGGACUGUCUAAAGUCUUUCACGAAUCUUUUUGCGGUCUGGGCUUGCUGUUCAUAACUAUCAAUGGGAAGCCCUUACCCCAAAAAGCAUUUGCGGAGGGCACACACACCGAAUAAUAGAAGGAUGCUCUGAUGUCUUACUUCUGCUCCUCUUGGACUAUCAUCAUACUCAUUGUUAGAAUGGCACGUUGCAAUUCUAAUGAGUUAUUAUGUUUAUCAUUUUUGUGCUCAGUCUUUACUAUUAGAUUUUUUUCUAAGUCUGGCACACCCUUUCUGUAUCUUAUGGCUCCAACCGCGCCUUAUCAGUUUAACGUGUGAUUUAAUUCUGGAUUUUAAGAGUAAGGUGUGAGGACUGCAUGGUUAAAACUAAUAUAAAUUAUGCGUUUGACAGUGAUACAAUGUGAAUGAACUACUGAAUGAAAACAUAUACAAUAAAAAAAUAAUAUUA